AGCAGCCGCCGCGGUAAUACGAAGGGUGCAAGCGUUACUCGGAAUUACUGGGCGUAAAGCGUGCGUAGGUGGUGGUUUAAGUCCGUUGUGAAAGCCCUGGGCUCAACCUGGGAAUUGCAGUGGAUGCUGGGUCACUAGAGUGUGGUAGAGGAUAGUGGAAUUUCCGGUGUAGCAGUGAAAUGCGUAGAGAUCGGAAGGAACAUCUGUGGCGAAGGCGACUAUCUGGGCCAACACUGACACUGAGGCACGAAAGCGUGGGGAGCAAACAGGAUUAGAUACCCGCGUAGUCCCUGUCUCUUAUAC
rnacentral:rRNA from 1 species